rnacentral:rRNA from 1 species
GACGAACGCUGGCGGCGUGCUUAACACAUGCAAGUCGAACGGAAAGGCCCUGCUUUUGUGGGGUGCUCGAGUGGCGAAAGGGUGAGUAACACGUGAGUAACCUGCCCUUGACUUUGGGAUAACUUCAGGGAACUGGGGCUAAUACCGGAUAGGAGCUCCUGCUGCAUGGUGGGGGUUGGAAAGUUUCGGCGGUUGGGGAUGGACUCGCGGCUUAUCAGCUUGUUGGUGGGGUAGUGGCUUACCAAGGCUUUGACGGGUAGCCGGCCUGAGAGGGUGACCGGCCACAUUGGGACUGAGAUACGGCCCAGACUCCUACGGGAGGCAGCAGUGGGGAAUAGUGCACAAUGGGCGGAAGCCUGAUGCAGCAACGCCGCGUGCGGGAUGACGGCCUUCGGGUUGUAAACCGCUUUCGCCUGUGACGAAGCGUGAGUGACGGUAAUGGGUAAAGAAGCACCGGCUAACUACGUG